AUGCGGGGGACGUGCCUCUAGUCAUGCUGCAGACGGUAGGCUCGAGGACCCGGAGCCCUUGUGAGAGUUGAGGACAUGCAAGAGCUAGGAGCGUUAGGUUUGCAGCAUGAUUGACACGGGAGAACUAGGAGCAGGUGGGAUGUGGAAUUGGAGCUGGAGCCCAGGGGGGCGGGCGACUGCUCGCAGCCACCCCUUCCCUCUUACUUUUACAAGCUGAGGCGGGAAGGCUGAGGAACUUCUUGAGGCUCUUUGGUAGUGACACAGGAAGAGCCGAGGAAAAGGCCCGGGAGGGGCCAGUGCGCCUCCGCGGGGCCCUCCUUAGCCCCCUUCCCCCGCCCCCUCCCCUGGCUCCCGGCCUCUCUGGACUGGGGGGCCUGUGCUGGGCAGGCUCUGCUGAGCAGUGGGGCCUGGAAAGAAAGGAAGUUAAGGCGGAGGCGUCUGCUCUGAAGGAAGGAACUGCCACAGUGAUAAGUCCAGACAACUUGCCUUCAUGUGAAAGCUUCCUUCUUGUUAAGAAAGAGCCUCUCGACAACGGACUUACAACCCCCAGAAAAACUCGGGACCCCCAGGGUGCCACCUACCUCUCCAUCAAGAUGAUCUAACAGAACGCACAUGCUGCACAUCAGGAUGUCUGGGAUGCGCUCUGCUAGUUCUGUCAAGAAGGCUGCAAAGCCCUUCGCCCCAGCAGUGUCCCGACUCAGCUCCAAGGGGCACUUCUGUCCAAUCUCUCUGUGCAGGGAGAAAACACAGCUGAGCGAGAUAAUUCAGUUCCCAGCGAGAGAAGGUCAGACUGGUAUCUAAUAGCUGAAGGAACCCAGAGCUACACAGAGAAUAUACUGUAUUUCCAAUCUUUCUUUAUCCUCUCCCUGAGAGAAAUGAGAAGAAUUAGAAACUCAGAAGUGGAUGAAUUACCUUACAACCUCUCCCACUAUGCUCUUCAUUCCAUAAUCAGUCGCCCAUAGACUCACAGCCGCCACCAGCACAGGCGCUAGGUGUUCAAAGUGCUGCAGCAUCUGGAUGAUCUUCACAGUGGCACCUGUGGAAGUUCUGAACAUGAGACAUUAUGGGCAAAAUGAAAACGUCGGGGCAAAGCGAAGGACUGACUUACUGAGCAUAUGGUUAUAACGUGUCAAGGCUACACCAAGCAGGUGUGUUAUGGCUUCCCGGGUAGGACGGUUCUUCUGGUGACUGAUGGUGGGGUUCUCCAGAAGGCGGUAACAGCACCCAGUAACCAAACUGAGAAAAGAAGAAAGUGAGAUGCUGAAAUCAGUUGUCUGGACUCAGUCACUCUGGGUCGCUGCCUCACUCAUUCUAUUUCUACUGCCCCCAAAGCAACAGUCUUCUAGUUUUCUUCAUUUUAUCUACCACCUUCUAUACCACGUUGUUUUGCUGACCUCAGACAGGUCCUGAAGACCACACUUGGAGGACAAAGACUCUGGAAUGAUCUGCACUACUUCCCACUGGACCCCUAGCUUACUCCACACUCCAACCAUAUUGGCAUUUUCCAUCUUAGGGCCUCGGCACUGGCUGCUCUGUCUGCUCGGUAUGUCCUUCCCUGAGAUCUACAUAGGUCGCUCCCUCAUUUUUAAGGUCUCUGCUCAAAUGUCACCUAUCAGCAAGCUUUCUCUGAUCAUCCAACAUAAAUUGCCAGAACCUACCUUGAUACACUGUACAUUUUUCAUCUUGUUUUAUUUUUCUUGCUGACACUUACAACAACUCCAUAUUUAUUUAUUACUUGUUGAAAGCCUUGAGAGCACUUUGUCAUCUUGUCUGUUUUGUUUGCUGUUGUGUUGCCAGGGCCUAGAACAGCGCCUGGCACAUAGCUUCAUCAGCAUACACUUGUUGAACAAAUUAAAUGAUUUGAUCUUACAUAUUUAUAGAACUUGUAUAUAGUACUUUAAACACCAAAAGCAAUGCAGCUGUUAUAAAAAAAACGACUCUUAAACAGAGUGAUCAU